CCUCCUCUGCCCUGAUUCGUCCCACGUCACCCCAUCCUGCCCCGGGAACUAGCCACCGCGCCGCCACCGGUCCCAAAAUCAGGUCGCCGCGCCACUCCCUCCCCGGGAUUCGGCCGCCGCGCCACCAACCGGCCCCGGAUCCGGCCGCUGCGCCACCCCGUCCAUGAAUCCGACCGCCGCGCCGCCUUUGCCCUGGAUCCGACCCCACUGCUGCCUGCCACCAUCAUGCAACGGCCUUGCCGCUGUUUCUGGAACAUGGUCGCGCCGCUGCGUAUGGUGCGCCGCCGUGCCUCUCCUGCCACCCAGGCUACUCGGCCUCACCUAGCUCGUCCUACCAAUGACGACCUCCUGCCAUGUGCGCCUCCUUCCUGCUCCACCCCGGCCACGAGCGCCUCCCCGGUUUCUCUGUUCGCUGCCACCAGCCGCCAUCGACGGCACGCCUAGCAGUGUACCGCCAUUGCCAACCAUCAGCCUCCUACCGACCCCCAGCUGCUUCGCCCGUUGCCAUGUUGAACUUCUCGUGGAGGCCGCUUUGACCUUCCUGAGUUAGCUUCAUAUUUGUUUUUUUUGUGCUCGACGGUGAGACACGAUCUCCUUCAGCUCUCUUGUUCUUCCUGCAAACAAGGUCGGGUUCAGUUUUGGUGGCUUGACGCUGCAUGCUCUGGUUGCUACUUGAACUGCUUGCUGCACCUGUUACACCUUCUCCUCCUAGUCCUCAAUCAAUGGACACAACAUGGCUGUAAUGUUCCUGCUAUUCAAAUUACUCUAAACUUGUAUGGUCGACACUUCAAUUUUUCGCUCUUCCAGGUGGCAUUCAGAAGCUCAGCUCGGCGCCAUGCAGGAUGCUGCAGAGCUGCCGUGGUGAGCCUGCUGAGUAGAGGUCGAGGCGCUGGAGUCCGGCGGCGCUGCUGCAUGCCAUGUGCUCUUUUUGGCUGAGGUCGAGCUGCUGGAGUGCGGUGGUGCUCGUUACCCUCCUAGAGUCCGGUGUUGCUGUUGGCUUUAUCUUGUUGCUGUUUGUCUAACUGUGAGAGAGAGCAUGUAUUUUCUCUUCCUGUACACUUACUACUCUGAAUAAUUGGAUCCCGUCAGUAGGUUGGUGUUGUACUAAUAAUGCAACGUAAUUAACAAUCUACGUGUUUGGGUUGCACUGUCGCUAGUGUAUUUCCUACAGUUUGUAUAGUUUCCUUAGUUUCUUUCGAUUUGUACUUUCAUUUUGUUAAAUAUAUGUCUCUUGAUGAAAUCCUUACCUGUACAACAUUGAGAGGUGGAAGUGUGCAGGGACGCACCGUCCAAGUCCCAAUUGCCCUGACGGUGACCCAACACCAUCACAGUCCAGCCCCGUAGCGUCAGGGAGGUCGAGGCCAUCGCGAGCAGAAGUCCAUAGCAGAAGGUGAUGGUCAGCGUAGCACUUCCAUCCCAUCCAUGUUCAGCAUAUUUUUGAUUUUGGGUAGCAACAAUGCGUAAUGUAUGGAAGCCAGUCAGGCUCGCACUUCCUCAUCUCCCGCUGUCGGCGACGACACUCCCUUCCUCCAGCGCCGCACGUCACCGGCGCGGCCAACCGCCUACACCGGCUUCGACUGCAACCAUGGCGUCUCUUUCUGUCAACCUCUUCGUCUCCCCUGCACCAGUUCUACUACAUAUGUUAAGAGUUCAUUGACAAAAGAAAAUCAUCAGUUCGGCAAUGGAAUCUGCAAAUGUUUAUGGUGCAGAAAAUUUCAUAACCGGUGUUCGAGUUUGUUUGACCGAGAAAGGAAGAUACUUGGCUGGAAGAAGUUCAUUCGUUAUGACACUGAUAGCUAAAAUCCUCUCUCCAUCAACUCAUGUAAUCUGUCGCAUUCGGCACCUGAGGAUGACUCUCCCUAGGAGACGAAGAACCCAACCGAUGCUUCUUAGUUGAGGCACGUCAGGAGCUCCCCUCCUAUGGUGUAGUGGCACAAAACUGUGUGUGUGGACGCGUUGUUGUGUCAGCUGAAGAAGUUCAAAUGCAGGGAAACAGGAACUACGCCAUGUACUAGGGCUAUGUGUCGGCCUCGUUGAAGUUCUACUAAGCUAUACGCCAGAUUUACCGGUUAUUGGUGAAAAAAAACAGUUAUUAACCAAACACUUUUUCAUAUGAUGUCAGCCAAAAGAAAUUGUGGAUGUGCUGUCCCCGUG